GAUGUGAAUUUUUUUUUCUAAAAAAAUAUUUAUUUAUUUAAUUUUUAUUAACAGCGAGAGAGUGUGGUGGGAGCGGAUUUGGGGAAAGAAGCCUGCCUCCCAAGCCACCAUUAACAUUCAGGUGAUGACUUUGUAAUUUUGCUUGGAGAUCCUCGGGUGGAAAUUGCAGGAACGGCGCUAACCCUUAUUUAUCCCAUUUUGUGUGAAAAGCGGAGCGCAGAGGGGAGCGAGGGCGCUGCGGGGAAUGCCACCCCCGCCUUGGGAGGAACCAACAAAACCCGACGGCAAAAGCUAAGCCUAGAGAGGAGGUAAAUCCAGGCUGAAAACCACCCGAGCAGCCUGCCCAAGUUGGGCGCCUCAGAAAUUCUUGCUCUGGAGGUGAUGCACGCCCAAGCCCCGCGCAGCCCUGCCCUUGCUCCAGUCAUUCCCAGCACAAACCCCGCUCUCAGCAGGAGCAGUGGCAUCUCAGGAGGCCAGCGCUGUAAUUAAUGAGAUUUGAGGCGCAAACACUGAGGCGGAAUUCCAGUUGCCAAUGUCAGAAAUGAAGAUCCAGCCUUUGUUACAAAAGGGGAUGAGGGGUGGCAGUACUUUAAAGCUUCUCAGUCCGACACUGGAAAGGAAUUCACAAUGUAUUUUUAGAGUGUUAUAAAAAUCUCUUACAUAAUGCUGAUUAAUUCUUCGGUUUUAGGGAAGAGCACUGAGCUUUGUGUACGAGUGUUGACCAGCUAAGCCACCGAAAAGGGCAGGCUUGGGCUGGAUUUUGGGGGUUUGUUUCCCCCCUUAACUUUUUCUUCUAUAGGCAAAGCUGCAAUUAUUCAAUUAUUACAGGAUUUUGCUUUUGUUUGGGCGUGUAUGAAUAUUAUUCUGGAAACUGUGUCUUAUUCUUGGAAGUCUUUAUCAUUUUAAAACAUAUGCUAUGUUAUAUCACCCUGUCUGAGAUACAGGAUAGCUCCAAACCGGGUGGGGUUUGUUUUUUUUUUCCCCCCCCCUCUCUCUUGCUGCAGCUAGUUACGGUAUGGAUUAAUGUUAAGGAUAUCUGCAGUGAAACAUGAAACAUUGCUUGUGUGGCUGUGCCAGACUGACUUAAACAAUGUCACAUCACAGGACCGCAGUUUUACUGAUACAGUAAUAUGUACAAUUACUUUGUGUUUCUGCCCAUUCUGUUGAUCCUCCAAAAUCAUUGAUUAAUCUAACUGGCAGGUUUCACACACAGCCCUUAACAAAGGGCUAUUCAGGAAAUUAAGUCAGUAAAUGCUACUCCCUUAUUUUAAUUCCAGUUAUCUAUACUUAUUGCUGUGUAGCUGGGAAGAUUUUUUGGGCAAGAUAUCAUGGGAGAGAGACGCUUUUGUUUAGUCUUUUUCAACAGAUACGUGACCGAGGCAGCUUUGAAGCCUUUUCUGAGGAAUCCUUCGUCCUUCUGUAGAAUGUUUAAUCUUCCUGUGGAGUGCCUAACUAUGAGACUCGUUCUGCAGACUUUCAUUCUUGUGCCAUACAGAUGAGCAGGGGUUGCUCAGGUGAUUGAACGAGUCCUAAAUCAUUACUGGAGAAUGGAGAGAGCAGGAACGCCUAGGUCAGAACAAAAAAUCUUUAUUUGCCCCUCUUUUCCACCAGGGAGGGGGGAAAAAAAACAACCCCAAAAGUAAUUACAGCUCAGGGGUAGGGAGGGAUAAUCCUUGUGGGUCCCUUCCAGCUUGAGAUACUCUGUGAUUCUGGGUCUCAAGGAAAGGUUUACCAAUAACCCAACAACCCCUUGCCCUUUCUGCUUCCAGCAGGAGCCACAACUUCCCUCCAUUCUGCACAGAAGGAGCCAGGAUGAUUUUGUCACACAGUUCACCCAUGAAGGGCCCAGAGACAGCAGAAAUGCCAUCAGCUUGGAAGCAAAACUUGCUAAGAACAAACCUUCCACGGGUUCAUUGCUCCCACUGGCUGUGCUGUGCCUGUUCACACACGUGCAGCUCACCACGGGGAAAUUAUCUGUACAGGGCACCCUGUGCCACACGGUCUGAGCCUUACAAUGGAAAAAAACCACUUGUUUGUGUGUACUGGUUUCCUCCACCACUUCUUUUUCUGGUGUUUGAUGUGGUUUCAGGCCUCCCUGGCGCUGUUUCCACUGGAGGGGCUGUCACAGCCUCUCUCUCUCACACAGACACUCAUGUGUGCCUUGGGUGCUGGCAAAGGGUUGAGCUCAUUCUCCUUCUCAUGAAGUUCAAAACCAGUCUUCCUCUUCCCCCCAGUUGCGUAUUUUUACUUCUAGGAUGGGAUUUGGUGCUUUCUUUGGUGAAAUGUAUUUGAUAACUGGGCUAUAAUUAUGUCUAGAUAUGCAUAAGCACCCUCUAGCAUCUCCGUGAUUUCAUUGGUUAGCUAGUUGUUUUAAGCCAUUUGAUGGAAAUUAUAUUUUACCAGACAACCCAGUCCGUGGGGAAAAAAAAAGAAGUAUGAAAAAAGUACAUUGCCUUAGAUAUUAAUCAUUUGAAGGACAGCUGAAAGUCACCAUUGCUGGCGCAGUGAUGUGUCACAUCAAGAAUGUGGCUCCUUGUGCUGUGUGUGGCAAUAAACAGAAGAAGAACAGCAUGAAAACUGGGGAUACAGGUGGAUGUGAGGCUAAAUGGGACCCAAAUCCUGCAUGGAGCUCCACAUGGGCUGAUCUGUCUCUGCAUGAUGUGGGUGCAGGGAUUUGUGACAAAGGGCUUUGCUGCUGUACUGCCUUGGCUGCAAUUCUUAGCAGUUAGUGCUGUGUUUAAAAAAAAAAAAAACAACAAACAAAAAACAAAAAACAGCCCAGCCAGAAAUCACAUUAGCAGCAUCAAAAUUGCUUUUAUUUUCAGGGUCAGUACCCUCAGCAAUAUGGUGCAGGAAAAGGUUGAUCCCAGUACGGAGUUGCUGAUAAUUCCCGAGUUGGUUUGACAUGUGCAGGCUGCUGUCGACUUCAACAGGCUUAUUUAACACAUUUGUUUCUUUUGGGUUUAGGAUUAGCCAAAACGCAAUUUUGUGGAGCUGCACUGAGGAGGUUGCCUGCAGUGGGCUGUGGGCCUGGCAGGACUCAGGUGGCACAAGGAUGACAGCAGAAAGUCUUCCCCUUUAGCCUGGAGUUAACCGUGGAUAGGGCAAAUAACCUCUUCAGAGCACUCAAGAUUUUUACAUUUAUUAAAGCCUGCUCAUAAAAAAGAGACUCCAAAGCAAGCAGUGGCGCUCAGAGUGAAGAUCUGGGAAAAUAAAUGGCCAAAGCUAUCGCACUGUGACAGCUUUGGCAAACCUUUGCACAGUUUUAUAAAACAAACACGCGUGAUGUUCUAUUCUCUGGGUAGGUCUUUGCGUUAGAAGUUCAUACCUGACUCAGAAGAAGAAUAAAAUGGUUCUCUCUCUCUCUCUCUCUCCACAUAUUUACUGAGCACAUACUGGUGAAUUAAGUGCCAUGCCCGUGCUGUGCCACAUCAGCCACGCUGUCCAGCCCCUCCGCAGCUCUCCUGCCUUCAUCGGUGUGUGCAAACCACAGAGGAUGGGUGGAGCUCUGGGGGCUUAAUGUCCCAGGGAGCUAACUGAUCUGGAUCUCAGGAAUCACAGAAAACGAAGCAAUUGUCUGUGGGCUUGCUCUGCUUUUUGUACAAAAGUGGUGUGAGAGUGCAUCGGUGUGUGAGUGUCCCCCUGCUGCUUUUCCACGCCAAGAUUUCAGCUCCUUCUGCUUUUUGUGAACCAUCCGAGGUCCUGGUGUUUGGAUAAGAAUGUAUGGAAAACCUGGGAGGAUUUCACUGUUUUUGGACCCCAAGGAGGGGGUGGUGACGAUAAAAAGCACUGGCACAUGUCAAGUCAAAGUGGUAGCGGGUCUGGCUGAUGGUUUUUUAACAGCUGGCCCAGAGCAGUGUGAAAAGCCAGGAAGGAAAUCACAGCACUGUCCAUUAAUUUAUGCUUAUGUAUGUUUUGUUUCUCUCAACACACACACACACACACACACACGUGAUAUUGUUCAUAUAUAUUGUUCAUCUGGUAAGGAAGAAAUAAAAAAAGAAAUUGAUACCAGUCUGCAUAUGUGUUCAAAAGCUUAGCAAAUUCUCCGAGCUCUGCUGGGGAUCAGAUUUCACCUAACUGCAAUAAAAAAAUCCUUUUUUACCUUG